UAAAAAUAUGCAUGCAGGUCGCUUUGGAUAAAAGUGUCUGCUAAAUGGCAUAUG
rfam:Salmo salar isolate Sally breed double haploid chromosome ssa01, whole genome shotgun sequence.